GACGCUGGCUCCGGGGAGGGCAGAGCAGCCGCUGAAACAAGGAGGGCGGCCGGCACCCCAGAUGCAGAGAGCGCCCCAGAGAUCCCGACAGUUGUUAUUGAAGAUGAUAGGAUUGAUGACGUGCUGAAAACUAUGACAGACAAGGCACCUCCUGGUAUUUAACUCCCCCAAAGACAAUGGGUUAAGGGUGAGGAUAAGAAUAAGAACGGCGCUAACAGUUAUUGGCAAAAAGAGUGUGAAAGGAGGAAGCACUUUGAAAUUUAUUACUAGCUUGCUACCUGCGAUGGAAUCAACAGCCUGUAUGUCGAGUCAGGCCGGGAGACAGAUGAUGAGGCGGGAGGAGGAGGAGGAGGAGGAGGAGAAGGCUCUGGGCUCCUCUGCAAAAAAUAAAAUUAAAAAAAUAAAUAACAAAAUCACUAUAUACACACACAUAUAAAGAAAUAAAGUCUCAGUUGCAGCUAUUUGUCAAAAUUAAUAUCCAUUUCUUUUUAUAUACAGUGAAUGUUGCGCAAUUAUAGAUCCGGAUUUUGAACCACUUUAAUAGUGAAGCGGCAGCACCGGGUGUUUGAGGUGGUGGCAACCUUCGCUGAUUUGGCUGUUCCCAAUGUUUACAUUAUUUAGUCUUGCAAAAAUUAUUCUGUGCACUUGGAUGUGAAAUGCUGUUCAGUUUUAUUUUUUUAUGUUGUUAUCCUUGGAUGUACAAAAAAAAUACCAGAAAAUGAUCUGUAUAGAUAUUCUGUUUUAUUUUGGUCCUCUUUCAAAGUUAAUCAGGAAUGUGUUGAAGAUAAGAGAACUUUUCUAAGAAAUGAUGGCUACAUAGAAAGAAUCCCUGUUUUAUUUUAAAAUGAAUUGUAAAGCUGUGUUUCUUUCUUGCUGCAAGCUAUUUGCCCAAGUUAAUGCAAAUGGAUACAUUUUUCUAUGUCAGGAAAGAAAAACCAUAAAAAAAAACAAAAACAAAGAAAAAAAAUGCUUGAGCUUUUUCUAAUCUCUCUCUGCAGUCUGUUGGGUGAGCAGCCUGUUUUUUUCUCUGAUAUUGUGUCAGUUUGUUUUCUUUAAUGGACUGUAAAAAAAAAAUGUAAUCACAAGAGUGCCAAAUAUCUUGAAAUGCCAAACGGCAUUUUGGUUUCUUUUCUUUUUCUUUGUGCUCUGAGUCCACGUAAAGGAAUGCUUAGAGUGUCUUUUCUGUUAUUUAUAGGGGUUCUCUUAAGGCACACCAGCUGCCUGUUUUGCAUGGUAUUUGCAAAAAUGCCUCUUGCGUGAGGAAAUCUUUUACCAUCUUUUCGUUUGCAACUUUGGACCUCAAGAGGUUUCUUCCCUUCCCUUCCCUGGUCCUCUUUUCUUAAUUCGAUAUUCUGUAUGUUGCACCUUUAACCAGCACACAGGGCUAUUUCUCCGAUGUACAAUAAAAGAACUGUUCCUGUGUC